GACGAACGCUGGCGGCGUGCUUAACACAUGCAAGUCGAAUGAUGAACCCGGAGCUUGCUCCGGUGGAUUAGUGGCGAACGGGUGAGUAACACGUGAGUAACCUGCCCUUGACUUUGGGAUAACUGCGGGAAACUGUAGCUAAUACCGGAUACGACCCUCGGCGGCAUCGCCAGGGGGUGGAAAGAAUUUCGGUCAAGGAUGGACUCGCGGCCUAUCAGCUAGUUGGUGAGGUAACGGCUCACCAAGGCGACGACGGGUAGCCGGCCUGAGAGGGUGACCGGCCACACUGGGACUGAGACACGGCCCAGACUCCUGCGGGAGGCAGCAGUGGGGAAUAUUGGACAAUGGGCGCAAGCCUGAUGCAGCAACGCCGCGUGAGGGAUGACGGCCUUCGGGUUGUAAACCUCUUUUAGUAGGGAAGAAGCGAAAGUGACGGUACCUGCAGAAAAAGCACCGGCUAACUACGUGCCAGCCGCCGCCGUAA
rnacentral:rRNA from 1 species